CCCCCCAGCCCAUCGGAGAGCUUGGAAAGCAAAGCUUGGCGUCCGCUGGGUCCCGCCACCCAGGGACGUCCCUGAGGCCAGACGCCUGCCCUCCACGCGUCAUGCAUCCCCAUAAAAAGCACUGGGCUUGUGGGCUGGGCUUGGGGCUGUCUGUCUGCUCCCUGGUGCCCUCCCAUGCGGGCACUGUGGGACCCGCACACCCUGGUAGCAGCCAGCCCCAGAGCCCAGAGCCGUGCCUGGUCGGUGAUAGGGGCUCGAGCCCAUUGCCUGCGGCUGCAGCCUCGUUCCUGUUUUCUGUCAAAUGGGGUCAGCGUGCCGCCUGGCCCUGCUGUGCCACCCCCGGAAGCCCCUUUGCUUCCAGUCCUGGGGGGACAUUCUUGACGCGUGUCCUGGAGGUGGAGCCGGGGGCAGGUUCCUCGUAGGUCCUGGUGUGCGCGGUGCAGCCCCUCAUAGGGCCGGGUGUACACGGUGCCCUCCAGGAAGUUUGAGCUAACUUGUCCUCCCUUCCUGCCAGAGGCUGGGAUGGCCAGGCCCCCCAGGUUUAGAAUCCGGAGGCCGGGGUGGCCAGGCCCCCAGGUUUAGAAUCCGGAGGCCGGGGUGGCCAGGCCCCCCACGUUUAGAAUCCGGAGGCCGGGGUGGCCAGGCCCCCCACGUUUAGAAUCCGGAGGCCGGGGUGGCCAGGCC
rnacentral:lncRNA from 1 species